GAAAAUACAUCAUCUUUGAACUAGAAAAUGAGCGCUCAGCAGACCUUGAGUUUGCCAGAUUUGAUCAUGAACUUCCCAGCUUCAAGAACUCCUGAACAAAGCUCCACGAUGAAGUCUACGAAGCCACAUUUUGGACAAAGGCUGAAUCUAAGGACUGUUUGGAAGAGAUCCACCCAAUAGAUUAGCUUAAAGAAGACUAUCUGGACAACUUGUUGGACAAUGCUGCACUCUCCUUAGGAAGAGAUCUCUCAGCUGCCAGAACAUAAUUUCCCUUCCAAGACUCCGCCAGUAUAUCACCUUCUCAAGGAGCCUUCUAACUCCUUUUUUGCUCUUUUGGCAUAAAUUUGUGUUCCUUGGACUUUCAUAGCAUCAUUUGGUUAUGCUUCUGAUACAAUUCUUAAAAUAUAAUACUGUAUUGUCCUUGUCAUUUGUCUGUUCUUUAUAGAUCCUCAAUAUAUAUUUGGUACUAAAACAGAGAAUGAGAUACUGUGCUCUGAGACCCAGAUAAUAUGGAAUAAAAAAUACUAACGAUAGACUGGAUAAAGAAAAUGUCACAUAUAUACACCAUGGAAUACUAUGCAGCCACAAAAAAGGAUGAGUUUAUGUCCUUUGCAGGGACAUGGAUGAAGCUGGAAACCAUCAUUUGCAGCAAGCUAACACAGGAACAGAAAACCAAACACUGCAUGUUCUCACUCAUAAGUAGGAGUUGAACAAUGAGAACACAUGGACACAGGGAGGGGAACAUCACACACUGGGACCUUUCAGGGGAUGUGGGGCUAGGAGAGGGAUAGCAUUAGGAGAAAUACUUAAUGUAGAUAACGGGUCGAUGGGUGCAGCAAACCACCAUGGCACAUGUAUACCUAUGUAACAAACCUACACGUUCUGCACUUGUAUCCCAGAACUUAAAGUAUAAUAAUAAAAAAAAAUUGGCAUACGACUAUGAAAAAGUCAAGUUUCACAAAAUUUUAAAACGUCUUUUACAUUUUCCAAUUUUAAUGUGAAAAAGGAGUGGUACAGUUAUGCAAUUAUGACAUGGUCUGUCAUAUCAACCCACAUUUUUUCAUCCUUUUGUGUACCAGAAUGUUAAAUAUUGAGCAUACUUUAGAUGCCAGAGACUCUCCAUAUUUUCAUACAUAAUUGAUGCUUACAGCAAUCCCAUGAAAUAAUUUGUUAUCUUUAUUUUACAAAUGAGAAAAUUAAAGCUGACAAAGCUAUUGUAGAGCACUAGGCUGGUUCACGCUUUCAAAUACCGGGCUUCUAGAGGUAUUUUUGUUUUGCUUUGUUUUGUUGCUUGUUCUACUAUUAUCUUUGUCUCAAGAAAACAGCUCUUUUACUAAAUAUGUGUCAUAUUCUUGUUUAAUCCCAAUUCAAAUAUUAUUUCCUUCAAAUCACUAAAGUUUGUUGAUUUUGACUAUUGCUUUUUGCAUAUUUUUUCAAGGAGAAUGAGAGUAUUUAUCUUGUAUAUAGUAGAAAUAAGGUAAAUAUAUAUUUUAAAUGUGUGUGAGUUUUUUUCUAAAUAAUAAGAAAAUUUAGUACAAUAAAUGUUUUUCUGAGUCAGAACUUCACUCAUUUCUUUAAUUUGCCACUAAGAAACUUUGUAAUUGUAGGAAAUUCAUUGGACUCUCUUGGUCCUAGUUUCCUUAUCUGCUGAAGGACA
ensembl:lncRNA novel transcript